GCCGUAAUAGUAUAACGGUAUUACGAGGCCAUGGUAAGGCUUUAAUCUAAGUUCAACUCUUAGUUACGGCACCA
rnacentral:tRNA from 1 species